GUGCUCAGUAGAAGAUUGAGUUCAAUACUGCGCAGGAAACAGAACUCGUUUCAAAGACCGCUUGAUAAUGAGUUUAAUAAAACUCGCGAUUGCCACUGGAAUUCUACUAGGAGCUUCGUAUCUUUUAAACAAUCCAGCACCGCAAAUUCCCGUGCUUCCUGAGACGUGGUGGGGCCCUAGAAAUGAGGAAAUCGUGGACAAAAGCAUUAGACCAUUUAAGGUGGUAUUCCCCAAAAAGGAUGUCGAGGAUCUUAAAACGAGGUUGAGGAAUACAAGGAUGCCGCAGCCAUCAAUGGAAGGCACAGCCUGGACUUACGGAAUACAUAGUAAUUUCAUACCAAUUAUUAUCGAUCACUGGUUGAAGUAUGACUUCCAAAAACGUGAAGCUCACAUAAACAAAUACCCACAGUUCACGACAAAUAUUCAAGGUUUGGAUAUUCACUUUCUGCACGUGAAGCCGGAAAAAACCGAAGGAAAGCGCGUUUUACCGCUUUUGAUUCUACAUGGCUGGCCAGGGUCCGUGUUAGAGUUUUACAAAAUAAUACCAUUACUGACCAGCCCUAGGAAGAACUUCGAUGUCGUUUUUGAAAUAAUAGCGCCGUCUUUACCAGGAUUUGGAUUUUCCAGCGGUGCGAUAAAACCCGGCCUCGGGGCAACGCAAAUGGCCGUGGUUUUGAAAAACCUGAUGUUAAGGCUCGGAUUUCAGAAAUUCUAUUCCCAAGGCGGAGACUGGGGAGCAAUUAUUACGGAGCAAAUGGCGAGCUUAUUUCCCGAGCAUGUCUCAAGAAUUCAUUCGAACAUGUGCGUAAGCACCGCCCCCUGGACUUUGUUUAAAACCAUUUUGUACAGUUUAUUUCCAUCACUGAUAGUAUCCGAUGAAGAUUAUCAUUUACUAUACCCCCUCAGCAAACAUUGGGUGCAAAUGUUUAAGAACAGUGCCUAUUUUCACCUCCAAGCAACGAGACCUGACAUAAUCGGAAUUGCAUUCAGUGAUUCGCCAGUGGGUUUCGCGGCGUACAUUUUGGAAAAAUUCGCCGGAGCCACCAACAAAUCUAAUCUCCUAAAAGACGACGGAGGUCUUUUUGAAACCUUCACACCUGACGAAUUAAUAGACAAUUUAAUGAUGUACUGGAUAUCUAAUUCCCAAACAACGUCAAUGAGAAUCUACGCUGAAAGCUUUAACCAUGAUCGCUAUAAACUUGGACUCGAUUCGUUACCGAUAACCGUUCCAUCGGCUUGUGCACAAUUUCCAAACGAGAUUUUCUACCAGCCGAAAGGAUUAUUGAAAGACCGGUUUAAAAAUUUAAUUCGCGUAACAAGAAUGCCUCGAGGUGGUCACUUUGCAGCUAUGGAGGAGCCUGAGCUUCUUGCCGAUGACAUUUGGCUCUCCCUAGGAAAUAUUUAGUUUAUUAUUUAACAUCAUCCCUUUCUAGGUGUCAGAAUUUCGAUCCUUUGGGUUAGCCUGAUAAAAUAGUGAGAAAUUAUCAUAUUAUCCAUUUAGUGAUUAUCUACGAGGUUUCUUACGGCUUAGAAGUGACGAGGACAAUUGCUGUAAUGGUACGUGAUUCUCUUUCAAGGCCUCUAUCAGACGACUACAUUAAUGUUCUCUUCAAUGUACUCGAGUAUUACAUUCUACACUGAUACGAACGUUGCAUGUCGGCAAGAAAUGAUUCGAUAUUAUAUUUAUAGACAAUUCUGUAGAGUCGCCAUGAGUGUACAGAAAUUAUCAGAAUGAGAAGUCAAUUUUAUAAUCGCGUCAAUUGUGUCAACCUCAUCUGCUUCCGAUAAAGGAGACCCCUACAUUCUUGUAUGUUCCUAACUGUAUUACCGCCUUUUUUAAAUAAAUUUAUUAAUUAUAA
rnacentral:misc_RNA from 1 species